UGGCGGACGGGUGAGUAACGCGUAAGAAUCUAACCUUUUGUUCGGGACAACAGUUGGAAACGACUGCUAAUACCGGAUGUGCCUACGGGUGAAAGGCUUGCUGCCUGGAGAAGAGCUUGCGUCCGAUUAGCUAGUUGGUGAGGUAAUGGCUUACCAAGGCAUCGAUCGGUAGCUGGUCUGAACGAUACCAGCCACACUGGGACUGAGACAGGCCCAGACUCCUACGGGAGGCAGCAGUGGGGAAUUUUCCCGCAUGGGCGAAAGCCUGACGGGACAAUACCGCGUGAGGGAAGAAGGCUCUUGGGUUGGAGACCUCUUUUCUCAGGGAAAUUAAAAAAAUGAAUGUACCUGAAGAAUAAGCAUCGUCUAACUCCGCGCCAACAGCCGCGGUAAUACGGAGGAUGCAAGCGUUAUCCGGAAUGAGUGCGCAUAACGCCCCCGCGUGUGUUUCAACGUCUCUAGUGUCAAAGAGCGGGUCUUACCUCCGGGGUGGCGGUAAAAACUGUUAAACUAGAGGGUCGUAGGGGUAGAGAAAAUUCGCUGUGUAGCGGAGAUGUGCAUAGAGAUUGGGAAGAACAUCGGUGGCGAAGGCGCUCUACUGGACGGCAACUGACGCUCAGGGACGAAAGGGGCUAGGGGAGCGAAUGGGAUUAGAUACCCCAGUAGUCCUAGCCGUAAACGAUGGAUACUGGGUGUGGCUUGUAACAAAACGAGCCGUGCCGUAGCUAACGCGUUAAGUAUCCCGCCUGGGGAGUACGCUCGCAAGAAUGAAACUCAAAGGAAGUGACGGGGGCCCGCACAAGCGGUGGAGUAUGUGGUUUAAUUCGAUGCAACGCGAAGAAGCUUACCAAGACUUGAAAUGUUGCGAAUCUCCUUGAAAGGGGAGAGUGCCUUCGGGAGCGCAAACACAGGUGGUGCAUGGCUGUCGUCAGCGCGUGUCGUGAGAUGUUGGGGUAAGUCCCGCAACGCGCGCAACCCUCAUGUUAGGUUGCCAAUAUUAAGUUGGGCACUCUAGACAGACUGCCGGUGACAAACCGGAGGAAGGUGGGGAUGACGUCAACUCAGCAUGCCCCUUACGUCUUGGGCUACACACGUACUACAAUGGUAAGGACAAAGGGAAGCGAAGCUGCGAAGUGAAGCAAAUCCCAUCAAACUUUACCACAGUUCAGAUCGUAGGCUGCAACUCGCCUACGUGAAGGAGGAAUCGCUAGUAAUCGCAGGUCAGCAUACUGCG
rnacentral:rRNA from 1 species